UGGGGAAUUUUGGACAAUGGGCGCAAGCCUGAUCCAGCAAUGCCGCGUGCAGGAUGAAGGCCUUCGGGUUGUAAACUGCUUUUGUACGGAACGAAAAGCCUCUCUCUAAUACAGGGGGGUGAUGACGGUACCGUAAGAAUAAGCACCGGCUAACUACGUGCCAGCAGCCGCGGUAAUACGUAGGGUGCAAGCGUUAAUCGGAAUUACUGGGCGUAAAGCGUGCGCAGGCGGUUUUGUAAGACAGUGGUGAAAUCCCCGGGCUCAACCUGGGAACUGCCAUUGUGACUGCAAGGCUGGAGUGCGGCAGAGGGGGGAUGGAAUUCCGCGUGUAGCAGUGAAAUGCGUAGAUAUGCGGAGGAACACCGAUGGCGAAGGCAAUCCCCUGGGCCUGCACUGACGCUCAUGCACGAAAGCGUGGGGAGCAAAACAGGAUUAGAUCCCUGGUAGUCCACGCCCUAAAAUGAUGUCAACUGGUU
rnacentral:rRNA from 1 species